rnacentral:rRNA from 1 species
UACAGAGGUCUCAAGCGUUGUUCGGAUUCAUUGGGCGUAAAGGGUGCGUAGGUGGCGGGGUAAGUCUGGUGUGAAAUCCUGGGGCUCAACCCCGGAACUGCACUGGAUACUGCUUUGCUAGAGUACUGGAGAGGGAACUGGAAUUUACGGUGUAGCAGUGAAAUGCGUAGAUAUCUGGAGGAAUACCGGUGGCGAAGGCGGCAUCCUGGACCGAGAUUGACGCUGAGGAGCGAAAGCUAGGGGAGCAAACGGG